UUAGCCAUGGUGUUAGACAAACGUAUUUCCCUGCUAAUGGUGAACUUUAAGGUGUGUUCCCUUCCUGGCUUAAUCCCAUGUUGUUUAGUACUAUCUAUGGUUUAUAACGUGAAAGUGCAACAUCCAACUUUUCUCUUGUGUGUAAUCUAAUAGUCUAGUUUUUUAUGUAUCAUUGCCUAUUAAAUUCUAGUAUUGCUUAAGCCUUUUUUUCUAUGACUUCUACUUAGCAUGUUCAAAUUAAGGUUUGUUUGUAGACCAUGCCCACCAACUUAUUUGGUUAGCAAAUUUUCAUUCAUUUCUCAAAUUAGACGUCCAUAUGUGAGAACUAUACUCUGUUUUGCUUUAUGUCCAUGAUUAACGACCAUAUUCUUUAUGCCAAUCUCGGACCAUGUUUUCUUUGGAACUUUACUUGAAGUAGUAUGCUAUCUCAUGUUAGUAAAUUUUAU
rnacentral:lncRNA from 1 species